rnacentral:misc_RNA from 1 species
CUCCUUAAUUAUCAGUAACCCAGAAUGUCACUUCUCUUGGCUAAAUGACCUAAGAUGUUUGACUAGAUCCUCUUUCAAUGAUUCAGGUAUCUGUGAAAUAAAGGUUGAUUUGGCCUCUUCAAUCAACAGCUUCCUGCAUUACAAAAAUAGCCAAGGGAUGUAUUAGAAAUGUAUUAGAAGACUUCAGUUGAUGGUAAGUUAAAAUAAACAUGCUAGAUAAAAUGCAUGAUGUAGACAAUACUUGAUAAGGAAUGUAUCUUUAGAGAAGUAAAUGAUUGGAUAGAGCAAACUUUCGAAGGGAAAGAUUAUAUGUCAGCCUCCUCUUGUGAGGCAUGAAUUCACUUUGUCACCAUGUGGUUUGCAACAUGGCAACUUUUACUUGGAGAAAUCAACUAUAUUUACUGCCAAACAACUUUAGAUCACAAAGAACCAGUGUAGCUUCAAACAUCUAUACUUAUACACCCUAAACCAUAGGGUGACGGAGUUGCUCCGCAGACCUGUUUCAGUGUCCUAAAUGACACAAGUAUUCUUAUCCCUGUUCAAAGUUGUAGAAAAAAGAAUCAGUUCAUUAGGAAAUCAGGGUAAUACUUGAUCAAAAUCUCAUUUAAAGCUCAUUGCAAUUGGCCAAAACAUGUAACCAGACAAACCCAUUGACAAGAAAAGCACAAUAUUCUACGACACAAAGCUUUGUGACACAUGGAAAUAUAUUCAAACGUAUGCCAAAAUUGUGUUACAGUAAUGUAAGGGCCUAUUUGGUUUAGUAGUUGAUGAGUGAUGACUACUGAUAUUGUUGUGGACGCCUUUGUGGGGAAGAAUUACAGGAGUCGUGGGACUCGUGGCUAAGGAAUUCCAAGUUGCAAAGGGACUUCUAGCUGAAAGCUAUUUUAUUUCCUAUUUUAUUAUUAUUAUUCCUUUCCUUUUCAAAACUAUAAUUCAGAUUAAUUUAGGAUUCCUAUCAUUAUAGAACUUUCCAAUAAUUAUUGCAAACCUGUCCUAUAUAAACGAGUUCAAUUUCAAUUAAUAAAAACAAGUAGCAAUUAUUCCCAAAAAUCAUGAGAUUUGAGGCUUUCUCUUUAAAUGAAUCUUGAGGUUCAAGGGCUCCCUCCAACGAGCUCUUGUUCACAGACAAAAUAGGCUCUUCACAACAAGGAAGGAAUCGGAACAAAGGGAAAGUGACAGCAGCAGGAGAAGAUUUCUUUGCGCAUCAUCCUUUGACGCGAUCUGUAUCCUAGGAACUUAACAGACAGCCAUUGCUGGUCGUUUAUAAAUGUUAAUUUAGUAGAACCUUUUCAGCUGUUGCUAUUGAUAUGUCAAAUGAUCAUUAAGGAUAUAAUUUAUUUUAAAAUAUAUCUUAAUAUGUCUCAUAUUAAUUUCCUCUUUGCUGUGUUAUACAAAGCAAAAUAAUUUUGUUUGCCUAUACACAUAGAUACCAUAAUUAUUUCAACCAUUACUUACAAUAUUUUAAUAUUUUUAAAAAUAAUUUAAUCAUAUAAAAUUAAUUUAGAAAAGUUUUAAUAGGGUAUCUCUCAAUCCAAUCAAAAUAGUAAAAACAGAUCAUAAAAAGCUCCAUUUUGGAGCUUUUAUAAUCAACAAUUAUUGGGUGCUCCAACAAUUAAGAGUUGAUAUUUUUUAUUUGGGCACAGCUAUUGCCAAAGCCAAAAUAGCCACAGCCUAAUAAAUAACAUAAAUGUUUCUUUCUCAUUUUGCCCUUAUUCAUAUAACCUUGUCUCUCUUUUCUUUCAAAUGCACUGCUUGUCUGUUUAACAUCAUGCUGUUGCAGCUUCCUUGUUCCAAUCAACCAUUUAAGAUAACUUUAAGAAUAUGUUGUUGAUAAUUUGAAGGCUACAGAUUCUUCUCCCCCUCUCCCCUCUAAGCAACCCCGCACCACACCCCCCCGUCCU